CCUACGGGAGGCAGCAGUGGGGAAUAUUGGUCAAUGGUCGCAAGCCUGAACCAGCAACGCCGCGUGAAGGAAGAAGGCUUUCGGGUUGUUAACUUCUUUUCUCAGGGACGAAGAAAGUGACGCUACCUGAGGAAUAAGCCUCGGCUAACUACAUGCCACCAGUCGCUGUAAUACGUCGGCGGCAAUCAUUAUCCGGAUUUACUUGGUGUAAAGGGCGUGUAGGCGGGACUGCAAGUCAGAUGUGAAAACCACGGGGUCAACCUGUGGCCUGCAGUUGAAACUGUAGUUCUUGAGUACGGGAGAGGCAGGCGGAAUGCCUAGUGUAGCGGUGAAAUGCGUAGAUAUUAGGAGGAACACCAGUGGCGAAGGCGGUAUGCUGGACAGCAACUGACGCUGAGGCGCGAAAGCGUGGGGAGCGAACAGGAUUAGAUACCCUAGUAGUC
rnacentral:rRNA from 1 species